rnacentral:rRNA from 1 species
UACGUAGGGGGCAAGCGUUGUCCGGAAUCAUUGGGCGUAAAGCGCGUGUAGGCGGCCCGGUAAGUCCGCUGUGAAAGUCGGGGGCUCAACCCUCGAAUGCCGGUGGAUACUGUCGGGCUAGAGUGCGGAAGAGGCGAGUGGAAUUCCUGGUGUAGCGGUGAAAUGCGCAGAUAUCAGGAAGAACACCCGUGGCUAAGGCGGUUCUCUAGUACGGUACUGACGCUGAGACGCGAAAGCGUGGGGAGCGAACAGG